rnacentral:lncRNA from 1 species
AAUAAAAAAUAAAUCAAAAUUAAACUGCAUGGGGUAUUAUUCAGGGUAUUCCAACUUAGGUGCACAAAAAGGGUAUCUUACUAUACCAAAUUAAUCCUUGAUUCUGCAAAGUUUAGUUUAGCCAUAAUAAAAAGGAGUAUAUAAAUGUAAUAGAAUGUCAUAAACAGGUGCAGAAUAAUUCCAGACACAUUUCAGGCGUACUGUUGAGAUAGUGUCAAGACAUAUUUAAGACUGUCAAGAAUGUGUCGCGACAUAUUCAGACAUUAUUUAGAAUGUCAAGAAUACGUCAAGACACAUUCAGACAUUAUUAAGAAUGUCAAGAAUAUGUCAAGACAGAUCGAGACAAAUUCAAGACAGUCCAGAAUUGGUCGAGACUAAUCCAGAUUCUUAUCAGAGGAUACAGGAAGUGUCGGGAAAUGUUAAGACAAUAUUCAUACUGUCAAGACACUUGUCAAGAAAAAUCAAGAACCUUAUUAGACAAA